ensembl:lncRNA
AAAGGUAGAGAUAUUGGUAACUUUGAAAACCACACAAAACUGUUUUUUAAAUAAAGCAUAAUGACUUCAAGAAAAUAGUUCUUGCUAGUUGUUACUGUUCUAUAAAUUCUUAAGAGUAUAUAGUAGUAUCAUCUCCUAUCAUUUGGGAGACAAAUCUUUUUAUUUAAAAAAAUUAUUAUGACUUACCUUUAACAAGGCUAAGAAGGAUUUUUCAAUCAAAUGCUCCAACAUUGGAACAGACAAUUCUUAGUAGGAACAAAUGACAUCCUGAAGAAAAACCCUACACUGAAAUCCUCAUUAUGUAAAGUGUGUGAGUUUAAAUAUGCUUUUUUAAAAAGGGAGAGAGACAGAGAGAGAGAGAGACAACGUCAGAUCCUAGUACGUGGUUUGUUGCAAAAGGAAUAAAAAAAAAAAAAAUAAGAAGAAACCCACACACAUCUCACUACUGAUAUGGCUCUUAAGGGUCUAUUUUUAUGUUCUGGUGAGGACCCAUUGCCUACAUCUGAGAUCCUCGGCAGGCUUUUCUCCUUUUUUUUUUUUCUUUUUUGGCCAUUUUCCCGUGCAAGUAAGUCAGAGGCCAGAGAGACAAAAGGAUCUAACUUUCAGAGCAGCUUCUAAUAUACUGUUUCACUAUGCAGUUAUUAUUCCAGAUGAUAACCUGGGUCUGGGCAGGUGUAGGAAGUGUAGACUGGGGAGAAUUGUCAGAGUCUCACUCUCCUACUAGAAAAACUCAUUUCAUGAAGUUUAAAUAAAAUAAACUUUUCUGUACAGCAUUAAUCUAUGGUAUGUUUAGAUUAAUAACUGCAAAAACAAUUAGCGUUUUUGUCAAUCAACAAGGAUGACAAACAGACUUUUAAAAAGGGAAAUAGCCUAUUGUUCUAACUGGAAGUUCUUCACUAUUUAUCAUCUUCUGUUAGUUUUGCAGAAGUAUCAUAAGCACAGAAAAAUCUUUCUAUGAAAACCAAAAGUUAAAUUUAUCUUCAAUUUUUUCAAAUAAAAAUACAACUAUUAAUUACUUUAUUUAUUUAUUUUUUGUCUUUUCUGCCAUUUCUUGGGCAGCUCCCACAGCAUAUGGAGGUUCCCAGGCUAGGGGUCGAAUCAGAGCUGUAGCUGCCGGCCUACACCAGAGCCGCAGCAACACGGGAUCCGAGCCACGUCUGCAACACCACAGCUCCCGGCAACGCCAGGAUCCUUAACCCACUGAGCAAGGCCAGGGAUCAAACCCUCAACUGCAUGGUUCCUAGUCGGAUUCGUUAACCACUGUGCCACGACGGGAACUCCACUUCAGUUACUUUAAAAGAAAGUCAUUAUUUCACAAUAUAACCAAAUAAAAUGCCUUGCAUUUUGAGGGGAAAAAUUUUCCUCAAUAUUAAAAAUCCAUUCUUAUAAAGAAAUUCUCAGAAUCAUAUAGGCAAAAUAAAAAAUUUCAGAAAGUAAACUAUCUCUCAGACAGACUAACUGAAUAAAUGCCUCUAAGUCAAACUUGAAAGACAACAACCUAACAAUAAUAGGCAGAAAUACAUUCCAUUCAUUAGAUUGUAUUUAAACCAGUGCUCAUGGAUUGCUUGUGCUGUCCCUUCUGGGCAUGUAUUGAAUCUUUUAUUUGCAGGCUGUUCUAUACAACAGGAAGGAAAGGCAAAUACUUUUUUCCCAGUAUUGCUCUUUUUCUAGUAUAUUUUGACUGAGACAUUUAUUUAGAAAUUAAUAAUGUUAUAAAACUUUGGGGUAUAUAUAUAUUUUUUCUAAUGUCAGAGCACUGAAUUACGAUAAAGUAGAAAUAGACCAGUAAUGUCAUUAUGAUUUAUGGGUUUUUUUUAUUACUUUUUUUUUUUUUUUUGCCUUUUAGGGCCAUACCCACGGCAUAUGGGGAUCCCAGGCUAGGGGUUGAAUCAGAGCUACGGCUGCCAGCCUAUACCACAACCACAGCAACACCAGAUCCUCAACCCACUAAGCAAGGCCAGAGAUCGAACCUACAUCCUCAUGAAUGCCAGUCAGAUUUAUUUCCGCUGAGCCACGACUGGAACUCCUGAUUUACGCUUUUCAAUUAAGAAGAAUUUACAAAGAUUUCAGUUAAUUUUAAAGGAUGAUUUCCUUAUAGUUGUAAACCAUUUAUCUUUGUUCCAUUAGUAAGGUAGUAUAAAAGCUAAUUCAAUCAAUAUUUUGAUUAAGGAUAUCUCUUGUAUUGUAGUUAAGAUGCUUUGAUAUAUUUUCUUCUCAGCCUUUAAUUCUCACAUA